rnacentral:rRNA from 1 species
AGCUGUCACUUAUAGAUGGGCCCGCGGCGCAUUAGCUAGUUGGUGAGGUAAUGGCUCACCAAGGCGACGAUGCGUAGCCGACCUGAGAGGGUGAUCGGCCACACUGGGACUGAGACACGGCCCAGACUCCUACGGGAGGCAGCAGUAGGGAAUCUUCCGCAAUGGACGAAAGUCUGACGGAGCAACGCCGCGUGAACGAAGAAGGCCUUCGGGUCGUAAAGUUCUGUUGUUAGGGAAGAACAAGUACCAGAGUAACUGCUGGUACC